AAAUAUUACUUAUAUAAAGCACAUCAGGAUGCCAUGGAGGGAAAGAGCCAUAUACAGACCAUUUACUCUGCUCAAAGUGGAUUUAGGACUCAACAGUGUGCUGAGAAAGUUAAAAUGCCUAUUAGCCAGUGCCAGCUGCACCAGAGGCUGUUUUCAGAUGUGUUUAAUGGGCAGGGAUCCAGCAUUACUGUCAUAUCUACUUCCAUCCUUUGCCUGUCCCUGUCCCUGAAGUAUGUAGUGGUAUUUCCAUAUUGUAUAAAGCCUAUUUAGUAGUGAAGAUCCUUUCUUGAGCAAUUUUAUAGCUUCAAGACUCAGGCAAAGUAAAAAAAGAAACACCAGAACCCUCUUCCAAAAAAAAAAAAAAAAAAAAAAGAAGAUCGUUUUCCCCACAUAAAGAAAAGUAAGUCUAUCAAUUUAAAACAUCCAGACUCCUGCUGGUCUCCUUUUAUUUUUUUUUUUUUCCCUAGUUUUUAAUUACUUUUCUCUUAACAGCUCCUCAUGACAAGAUAUCUCUCUUCCCAGCCCAGAGGGAAUGACUGAAGCUUCUGUUUGACUAUCCCAGUGUUUUUCUGACAGCUGUACUGCUAGCUUUGCCUUCUUAUCUUUUUUUGUUGCUGUUUUUCCUUAGCUCUUGGGAUUGGCUAAUAGAAGAUCUCUGUUGUGAAGCACAUCUACAACGUGGCAGGGUCAUUUUUUCCCUCUGGCAAAGGAGUUUUUGUUUGCAACAGGUGAAGAUGAGUUGGUGCAAACAGCAAGCUGUGUGUAGUAGUAACUCCACCAACUUUGAGGGUCUUUAUCAGAGUACCUAACUCAGUGACACAUACAAAAGAGGACAUGAAGCUGGUCUCUGGAAAGGAAGUACAGAAGACUUCUGAGCUUGUGCCAGACCCCAGUGAAGUCCAAGUGAGUGCCCAAGUGUCCCAUCAUUGUCCUUUCCUGUUAGUACAUGGAGCACAAUGGGACAGCAGUCCUACUAAGAGCCUCUAGGGGCUACUGCAGUUCAAUAAAUUACAAUAAAUAAAAUGAAAACCCAGUUUUGAGUCUGAUAUGGGCUGUGUUAAUCUCUGGUGUGCUAUCUGGGACUUCAGAAGAGUUACAUGCAAUGGAAUACCGCCCACUGAGCCUUUGCUGACUGCUCUCACAUUGCCACGAAGGAUAAAGGAUCGCAACAGACAUCAGCUUUCCCGACUCCUGCAAUGAACCUCCAGUACAUAUUAGCAGCAGGCUUUUAAGCAGUUUUUAUAUCCAGUGACGCUGGACAGCAUGAUCAUGGAGUGGUUGGCUCUACACCACGGAGAAGUGAUCUCCUUGGCAGGAGAUGUGUGGUGCAGCCCCUUCACCUACAGUGGUAAUGAGUUACUGCCAUCAGCUGCCACACCUUAUCUGCUCUUCAGGCAAACUCCCUUAAAGCCAUUUAUAAAGGUCUCCUUGGCUGGGAAGGGGAAAGAUGAGUCCGUGCAGGAUUUUCCUCUUGUCUGCAAUCAAAAAUUGGUUUUAUCCUUCUGCAA